UAAUACGUAGGGUGCGAGCGUUAAUCGGAAUUACUGGGCGUAAAGGGUGCGCAGGCGGUUUUGUAAGUCAGAUGUGAAAUCCCCGGGCUUAACCUGGGAAUUGCGUUUGAAACUACAAGACUAGAGUGUGGCAGAGGGAGGUGGAAUUCCAUGUGUAGCAGUGAAAUGCGUAGAGAUAUGGAAGAACAUCGAUGGCGAAGGCAGCCUCCUGGGUUAACACUGACGCUCAUGCACGAAAGCGUGGGGAGCAAACAGGAUUAGAUACCCUGGUAGUCCACGCCCUAAACGAUGUCAACUAGUUGUCGGGCCUUACUAGGCUUGGUAACGAAGCUAACGCGUGAAGUUGACCGCCUGGGGAGUACGGUCGCAAGAUUAAAACUCAAAUGAAUUGACGG
rnacentral:rRNA from 1 species